GACGAACGCUGGCGGCGUGCUUAACACAUGCAAGUCGAACGGUGAAGCGCCUUCCUUUUUGGUGGGUGUGGAUGAGUGGCGAACGGGUGAGUAACACGUGAGUAACCUGCCCCCUUCUUCUGGAUAACCGCAUGAAAGUGUGGCUAAUACGGGAUAUUCUGGGUCUGUCGCAUGAUGGGUCUGGGAAAGAUAUUGUUUCGGUGGGGGAUGGGCUCGCGGCCUAUCAGCUUGCUGGUGGGGUGAUGGCCUACCAAGGCGGUGACGGGUAGCCGGCCUGAGAGGGUGGACGGUCACACUGGGACUGAGACACGGACCAGACUCCUACGCGAGCCAGCAGUGGGGAAUAUUGCACAAUGGGCGCAAGACUGAUGCAGCGACGCCGCGUGGGGGAUGGAGGCCUUCGGGUUGUGAACCUCUUUCGCCAGUGAAGCAGGCCUGCCUCGUUUGUGGGUGGGUUGACGGUAGCUGGAUAAGAAGCGCCGGCUAACUACGUG
rnacentral:rRNA from 1 species